rnacentral:lncRNA from 1 species
AUGAACUGGACACUAGUGCUGAGAUCACCUGAGUAAUAAAAAUGUAAGGGAGGCGUUCCCUCUGGUGGCUCAGCAGGUUAAGAACCCAGUUAGUGUCCAUGAGGAUGCAGGUUUGAUCCCCAGCCUCCCUCAGCAGGUUAAGGAUCCAGAAUUGCUGUGAGCUAUGGUGUAGGUCGAAGACACGCAGCUCAGAUCUGGCAUGGCUGUGGCUGUGGCAUGGGCUGGUAGCUGCAGCUCUGAUAAAAUAAAAAAUAUAAGGGAGUUCAGAUUCAUGGAGAAUUGAAUGAGAGGGUCCAAAAUACCUCUGAUAGGAGUUCCUGAGGGAAAACUAGAGAGAAAAGGGAAGCAGAACAAUUAAUGAAAAUAUAGAGAGUUUUUGAGAAUUGAUGAAAUACCCAGAUCCUCAUAUUCUAAAAGCUUAAGUCACAAUCAAAAUUAAAAAUACAGGAGUUCCUGUUGUGGCUCAGUUGUAAUGAACCCAACUAGUAGCCAUGAGGACUCGGGUUCAAUCCUUGGCCCCGCUCAGUGGGCUAAAGAUCUGGUGUUGCCAUGAACUCUGCUGGCCUACACCACAGCCACAGCAACUCAGGAUCUGAGCUGUGUCUGUGACCUACACCACGGCAACCCCAGAUCCUUAACCUCCUGAGCGAGACCAGGGAUCAAACCCACAUCCUCAUGGACACUAGUCAGGUUCAUCACCCACUGAACCACAACACAACAAGAACUCCUAAUAGCAGACUUCUUAGCAGCAACAGUGGAAUCAGAGUUUGAUAGAAUAUCAACUUAAAACUGUUAGGAGAAUAUUUCAUAAUUAUUUUUAAAAUAAAAUAAUUACUAAAGGCUAUAGUUCCACCUAGAACAAUACUAUCUAAUGGAAAUACAAUUUACAUAAUAUAUAUAGUUUGAAAGAGUAAUCACAAAGCAAAGAAGAGAAAAUAUAAAACUUCUAAUGUAGAACUAAGAGCAAGUAGCUCAGUGCAUGAAAAGGGAGACAGAGAACUCAGCUUCAAACUGACUUCCUGGUUGGUUGGGUUUUUUAAGCCUUUAUAAGAAAUAUAGAAAAUUUUUGUGGAUUAAAAGCUUUUGAGUAAAUCUUUGUGUAGUCUAUAGCUUUUAAAAGAUCAAAUCCUAACUAGUUUCUUUGUUAACAUUCCUAAUUAUUUACAAUCAUAAUUUUCUAGAUGAACAGGGUGUAUUAGUAAGUCUUUGACAUGCUCCAUCUUGCCAUGCCUUCCUAAGGCCAGAAUUAACAGGUCCUUCAAGUUAAAUGUGUUUGAACCAGAUAAAAUUACCCCAUAUGUUCCCUGGAAACAAACCAUAAAACGAAACUAAUGUAAUAGGUAAAAAUGAAUUCUUGGAGUUCCCGUCGUGGUUCAGCAGUUACGAACCAACUAGUAUCCAUGAGGAUGCGGGUUGGAUCCUUGGCCCCACUCAGUGGGUUAAGGAUCUGGUGUUGCCAUGAGCUGUGGUGUAGGUACAGCUUGGAUCCGCCGUGGCUGUGGCUGUGGCGUAAGCCAGAAGCUGCAGCUCUGAUUAGACCCCUACCCUGGGAACUUACAUAUGCCUUGGGUAAGGCCCUCAAAAGACAAAAAAAAAAAAAAAAAAAAAAAAGAAAAAAAAAAGCUUAAAAAAAAUAAAGUGGGUGGUUUAACAUGUAUAUGGAUCAUUUGUUAAACCACCCCUCCCCCACAACUAUUGUCAAUAUAAUUCAUUUUGAUUUGAAGUUGUUUUGUCUCUAGAUGUGACACACAAGCCAUUUGAUUAAAGAGUUACAUUUAGAAGGGUAAGUUGCCACAGGUCAUGCUCUCUAGCCCCGUUUUUGCUGACAGAUGUUAUUUCACUAUAUUUGUUUUAAUUUAGCACUGGGAUUUUAAAAAGGCGUAAUGUAUAGAGUAAAGAGCAUUAUUCUUAACUGUGCUGCCUGGUAAAUUUUAUACAUGUGCGCACUCACAUAACCACUGCCCCAUCAUUUCUAGCACCCAGGAACGCUCCCCUCCUGCUUCCUCCUAAUCAGGAGUAAUCAUUAUAUGACAUAGCACAUAGAAAAGUUUUUAAACAACCUGAUUUUAAACAUCGUAUAAAUAGGAUCAUACAAUGUGAACGCUUUUUGUGUCUGACUUGUUUUACUAAACAUCGUGAGAGUUUUCCACAUUAAGUAACUAAGCUUUUUAAAGAAAACAUUUUGUAAUUACUUGUCAAAUUUCUUUUCUCAAAUACGGAAAUUAGAAGAGGGCUUUAUGCUUUAUGUUAUUUAGUAACAGUUUAGGUUUUCUUUCUUGGAAUAAUGUGUAUCAGUCAUGGUUGACAUUUUUACAAGAAAUGUUUCUUAGUAUUUCUUUUUGAAGAGUAGAAUAGUUUACAGUUCAAGUAAGCCUCUCCACCUCCCCCCAUGCCUCCCUUCACCCCGUUUUCUAUUUGAGAGUGAAAAUUUCUUUAAAGUGUAAAUAGGAGGGUGAUAAUGUGAAAAGCAGCAGAGAAUAAUAGCAUUAGUGAGCACAGAAAUACUUCUUUACAAGCAGGUACAGAUCAUGGUUAUAUGUGGAAUCAAGUCACUGUAGAUAAAGUCAGUUCCCCUCUGGAACGAUAUGAACUUCCUUUCUCUUCAUUAACCUUUCCAUCAAAAAUGAGAGAAAUGACAGCUGGCUUUGAUAUUACUUGAUUAUUCAGUCUUCGUAUAAAUUCUGGAUCCUUCACAGCAAAGAGAACUUGCUGAGUUUGUUUGUUUGUUCUUGGACUGCCCGGGGCUUAGGGCGUUCCUGGACCAGGGAUCAGAUCUGAGCCACACUUGGGACCCACCCACAGCCAGGGCAAUGCCCGAUCCUUAACCUGCUGUGCUGGGCCAGGGAUGGAACUUGCUUCCUGGAGUUGCAGAGACACCGCUGUUCCCAUUGUGCCACAGUGGGAACUCCAUUGCUUAUUUUUCAAACAUUUUCUUUUCUCCUGGCUUUAUGCAGAUAGCAAGGGUGGAAGGUGGUCUCCUUUAACCUGAAACUUUGGGGUUUUUUUGGGGGAACCCCCACUUUAUAAAGAGCCUUUACCAUAAAACUUAUUUCUGUUGCUAAUUACCUCAGUUAUAGUUUAUUUUGUGUGGCAGUUGUGUGACCUGAAGUUGUUAGGUGACAACAGAAAUGCCAGUGGUUUAAGAAGCUUAGCAUUUUGUUCCAGGAUUGCUUAGACAAAAUUGUUAAACUGGCAAUAAAAUAAAGUUUUUAAGUUUUUAUCAUUCAAGAUUAACAUUUUUACAGCUGCUUGAAUAGAAUAGUCAAGCAAAAGAAUGAUUUGUAUAUUUUGAGAAAGAAACCAGCUUCAGAGAAAUUUGUCUGUUAGAUAAUCAGCAGCCAAAAAUAUUAUAGACCUAAGAAAUAGCUUUGCUCUCAAAGUUCAGACCCUCUUUAGGGAAACACCAAUUGGUCUUAAUCCCAGGAUCUUUUCUGCCUCCCAGUUGUAUGCUUUGUGUCCCAUUCACCUAUCAGAUGGGGCAGAUGAGAUCACAGGUGCUCACCCCCAGGCUCAAAGAAGAGGUACGAUGAUACUCACUGGAUUUGAGGAAGUGGCGCGAAAGAAUUGACAUGCAUCACCAGUUCAUUGUAGUUUGCUUUAGUUUGGAAACAAGAUUUUAAAAAGCCAAAUAAAGAUGGUUUUAUUAGUUUGAUAAGACCAUUUAUUUCUCAGGGCACAGUGGCAUCCUCAGUUUGGUGCCAUUUAUUCUUCCUUAUAAAUAGAGAAGAGCUAUUUAGGUCUCACUUCUAGUCUAAAAUUAUUUCUGAUUGUCAUUUUGCGUGUAAUACAAAUGGACUUUGUUAUAAUUUGGAUAAAAUAGUUACUGUAACACUUUCUGGCUUGUCAUAUCUCUUAUAAAAUGUUUCAUUUGUGGCUUUUUACAGUGAAGAAAUUUUUUUUCUUUUACAGCUACACCCACAGCAUAUGGAAAGUUCCCAGACCAGGGAUUGAAUCCAAGCUUCAGCUGCAACCU